GAGUUUGAUCCUGGCUCAGGAUGAACGCUAGCGGGAGGCUUAACACAUGCAAGUCGUGGGGCAGCAUAAUGUAGCAAUACGUUGAUGGCGACCGGCGCACGGGUGAGUAACGCGUAUGCAACCUACCCUGUACAGGGGGAUAGCCCGGAGAAAUUCGGAUUAAUACCCCAUAAAGAUAUGAGAAGGCAUCUUUUUAUAUUUAAAGUUUUGGCGGUACGGGAUGGGCAUGCGUAACAUUAGCUAGUUGGUAGGGUAACGGCCUACCAAGGCAACGAUGUUUAGGGGUCCUGAGAGGGUGAUCCCCCACACUGGUACUGAGACACGGACCAGACUCCUACGGGAGGCAGCAGUGAGGAAUAUUGGUCAAUGGGCGCAAGCCUGAACCAGCCAUCCCGCGUGAAGGAAGAAGGCGCUAUGCGUCGUAAACUUCUUUUCCGGAGGAAUAAAAUUUAGUACGGGUACUGAACUGAAGGUACUCUGGGAAUAAGCAUCGGCUAACUCCGUGCCAGCAGCCGCGGUAAUACGGAGGAUGCAAGCGUUAUCCGGAUUUAUUGGGUUUAAAGGGUGCGUAGGCGGAUUAAUAAGUCAGUGGUGAAAACCUUCAGCUUAACUGGAGACUUGCCAUUGAUACUGUCAGUCUUGAGGAUGGUCAAGGUAGGCGGAAUGUGUAAUGUAGCGGUGAAAUGCUUAGAUAUUACACAGAACACCGAUGGCGAAGGCAGCUUACUGGGCCAUAUCUGACGCUGAUGCACGAAAGCGUGGGGAUCGAACAGGAUUAGAUACCCUGGUAGUC
rnacentral:rRNA from 1 species